UACGGAGGGUGCAAGCGUUAUCCGGAUUCACUGGGUUUAAAGGGAGCGUAGGCGGGUUGGUAAGUCAGUGGUGAAAUCCCCGAGCUUAACUUGGGAACUGCCAUUGAUACUAUCAGUCUUGAAUACUGUGGAGGUUAGCGGAAUAUGUCAUGUAGCGGUGAAAUGCUUAGAUAUGACAUAGAACACCCAUUGCGAAGGCAGCUUACUACGAAAUGAUUGACACUGAGGCUCGAAAGCGUGGGGAUCAAACAGG
rnacentral:rRNA from 1 species